rnacentral:tRNA from 1 species
AAUCGAGGUCGUCGACGGGCGUGACGUCGCGGUCGAUGUUCGCGGUGUCGACGCCCUCGUAGACGAUGAUGGUCGCGUCCUCCUCGGCGAC